CAACCCUCAGGCCCUGCCUGGUGUUGGGGCGCCACUGCUGUGGGCCCCCAAAGCCAGCGGCGGGCACGGCCCGGACCCGAGCGUAGUAGUAUAACUCGCUAGGGGCUCCGGCCGCGCUCCGGCCGUAAAACCUCCUAUAAA
rnacentral:misc_RNA from 1 species